rnacentral:rRNA from 1 species
GGUUCGAUUAUGGCUCAGAUUGAACGCUGGCGGGAUGCUUUACACAUGCAAGUCGAACGGCAGCACGGACUUCGGUCUGGUGGCGAGUGGCGAACGGGUGAGUAAUGUGUAUCGGAACGUGCCUAGUAGCGGGGGGAUAACUACGCGAAAGCGUAGCUAAUACCGCAUACUGCCGCCCUUCGGGGAAAGCGGGGGACCUUCGGGCCUCGCACUAUUAGAGCGGCCGAUAUCGGAUUAGCUAGUUGGGUGGGGUAACGGCUCACCAAGGCGACGAUCCGUAGCUGGUUUGAGAGGACGACCAGCCACACUUCGGGACUGAGACACGGCCCAGACUCCUACGGGAGGCAGCAGUGGGGAAUUUUGACAAUGGGGGAAACCCCUGAUCCAGCCAUCCCGCGUGUGCGAUGAAGGCUUUCGGGUUGUAAAAGCACUUUUGGCAGGAAAGAAACGGGCACGGGAUAAUACCCGUGCAACUGACGGUACCUGCAGAAUAAGCACCGGCUAACUACGCCAGCAGCCGCGUAACACGUAGGGUGCAAGCGUUAAUCGGAAUUACUGGGCGUAAAGCGUGCGCAGGCGGUUCGGAAAGAAAGAUGUGAAAUCCCAGAGCUUAACUUUGGGAACUGCAUUUUUAACUACCGAGCUAGAGUGUGUCAGAGGGAGGUGGAAUUCCGCGUGUAGCAGUGAAAUGCGUAGAUAUGCGGAGGAACACCGAUGGCGAAGGCAGCCCUCCUGGGAUAACACUGACGCUCAUGCACGAAAGCGUGGGGAGCAAACAGAUUAGAUACCCUGGUAGUCCACGCCCUAAACGAUGUCAAAUCAGCUGUUGGGGCCUUCGGGCCUCGGUGGCGCAGCUAACGCGUGAAGUUGACCGCCUGGGGAGUACGGUCGCAAGAUUAAAACCUGAAGGAAUUGACGGUGGACCCGCGCCAAGCGGUGGAUGAUGUGGAUUAAUUCGAUGGUAACGCGAAAAACCUUACCUACCCUUUGACAUGUCUGGAAUCCCGAAGAGAUUUGGGAGUGCUCGCAAGAGAACCGGAACACAGGUGCUGCAUGGCUGUCGCUUCAGCUCGUGUCGUGAGAUGUUGGGUUAAGUCCGCAACGAGCGCAACCCUUGUCAUUAGUUGCUACGAAAGGGCACUCUAAUGAGACUGCUGCGACAAACCGGAGGAAGGUGGGGAUGACGUCAAGUCCCCAUGGCCCUUAUGCGGUAGGGCCACUACACGUCAUACAAUGGUCGGGACAGAGGGUCGCCAACCCGCGAGGGGGCGCCAAUCCUGAAACCGAUCGUAGUCCGGAUCGCAGUCUGCAACUCGACUGCGUGAAGUCGGAAUCGCUAGUAAUCGCGGAUCAGCAUGUCGCGUGAAUAUGUUCCGGUCUUGUACACACCGCCCGUCACACCAUGGGAGUGGGUUUUACCAGAAGUAGUUGGCCUAACCGUAAGGAGGGCGAUUACCACGGUGAUUCAUGACUGGGGUGAAGUCGUAACAAGGCAGCUC